rfam:Ananas comosus cultivar MD2 ACMD2_Scaffold_1459, whole genome shotgun sequence.
GAGCAAAUGAUGAUAUGAAAACAUGAUUGAGCGAGAUGUCUCUAUGAAAUCUCACAAAAUCGAGCUUUUUAAAACUGAUGCUCA